CCUUAUUAAUUUGAUGCUUCCAAUGCGACCCCAGGU
rnacentral:rRNA from 1 species